UCAACUUCUAAAAUGAUAAGUAUGUCAAGGGGUGGUGGGGAGAAGAGGCACUUCUCGGAAAAAUUGGGACCUCCACAAAGAGAAGUGUUCGAUAGAAAACAGUCCUGGGUUUGGAAUUUGUCAGCAUGUGGCUGGUUCCCAGCUGGUUCUCAGCCAAUAGAAAUAGCUUUCCAGAGCCCUAGGGGAUUAAGCCAACUAUGAAGAUAAAAAUGGAUAGAGUCAAGAGGGGGAGGGUGUCAGGUUACGGCUUGGGAAACUGACAAAACCAGGUGUCAGCUCACCCAGCGUGCAUUUCCGGUUUCCGGUGUGCCCUCCUAGACUGCAGAGUUGAACAGGUGAAAACCUCAUUCCCCGGAAUCCCAGGAAGUAGGACUCUAGACAUCACUUAGGAUCCACCUUCUGAGGGAAAUGGCGGAGGUUAAAUUUGGAUACAGUCAAGUGGGCAGAAAGGCAGAGGCUGAGACACCUAUUUCAACUGGUGUGCCAUGAGCAGAGGUGCAUUGAGCCAUCACUGGAUAUGAACAUUACAAUGAGGCCACCAAGAAGCAACAGUUACUAUUAUUGUAACCUGGGGGAGAGCAGCAUCCAAGAAAUCUUACAAAAGACUUGUGGCCAUUUUCCUAUGUAUCAAGAAAAUGUGAAAGCCAUCUCCUCAGGACCAAAUUUACACUGAUCGAUGAAGUGCUUCGCCAAUUUAGACAGUAAGAGGUUGUUUAAUUAUAGCAGGGUAGCGGUGCAUAUUACACCAAACAUUUGUUUUACAUCUGAAAGCCCUGGAAAUGGAAAUUAAUAGAUUCAUGCAGGAAUGAACUUACUUGUGGGGGCCCAGUGAUUCCGAGUAGACCAGCAAUUACUCAUUUUUCUUUGAAUUCAUUUCUGUGAUGGAAACACAAAAAAGUGAUUUCAAGAAGGAAAAUCGUUGCAUGGAAAUCUGGCAAGUUUUCACAAGGACUGAAUUGCUCUUUUGUUUCCUGCCCAGCAAUAUGAGAUUGUCAGCUGAAACUGGGUCUCUGCUGUGUUAGCAGAGGCAGAGAAGGCUCUGUGUCCAACAGUGGCCCUGCCCUGGGACCAGCCUCCCAGGAGUUUCCAGAGCAUCCAGAGAACGGAAAGCAGGUCCUUGGGAGAACAGGGCACUGCCAGCAUUCGGAUAACGAGCAAGCAUUCCAGAGGAAAGACAGCUGGCAGAUGUGGUCCACCACGAAUUGGGAUCAAACUUUAAUGUCAUUGUCAUGAAGAUAAAAAAGCAAAAAGGAAUAAUGAAGUCAACCAAAUGAGGUCAGGACUUUACUUUUUUAACCCAAAUCAACUGACUUUGCAUGUGCAGACCCUGUAGGAGCUUGAUUUUCUGGCCCCCAUUUAGCCCCAUGCCUGGUACAGUGUAGCUGUUCUGUUUAACAAAGAAUGUUAAGUGAUGAUGAAACCAGGAAGACUGAGCUAAGAGUAAGGAAAUACUUAGGAUAGCAAGACCAACCUAUGGAUGACUUUUUUUUUUUUUCUUUUAAAUGAGCCAGGUGUGGGAAGCUAAUGAUAGAAGCUAGAAGCUUGGCUGUGGCCUGAAUUAGGUACCUGGGAGGAACCUCAGAGUUGCAGGGGUGGGAAGCGGGACUGGGAUGGAACAUAAUAGCAGCCAAUGUUAACAAUAGGGAUUGAAGUAAAUGAGUUUCUUGGCCCCCUUCCAGCCGUCCCGCAACCCCAGCCUGCUGGCGGCUUACUAUAACCAGGCCACAGGCAGGCUGUAUGGUCCACCGCCCCCAUGCUCUGGGCAGGUUGGAGCCUGGAUAUGAAACAACAGAAAUGAUGAUUAUUGAGUAAGCUCCUUAAUCCAACACUAUGUAAAUCUUAAAGCUGUCUGUUGGAAAUUGAUUAUAUUUUUCCACGGAAGUGAAUGAAUUAGGCAUUGAUAUAAAGCUCUCUCACUUACUCCCAGUACACAAAUUACAUAUAUUUUUUGAAAUCUC